AUCUGAUCACGCCUGAAGCAGACCAUGUCAAGGUGCAACAGAACCUGGUCAACAUUUGGGCUAAGAUAAUAAAAUGUGAGGCUGGAUGAACAUAGCAGGCCCAGCAGCAUCUCAGGAGCACAAAAGCUGACGUUUCGGGCCUAGACCAAGGGCUUGAGCUUUUAAGUGGUGAAUGCAAAGAAACUCAUGGUACUACUUUGAAGAGGAGCAGAGGAGUUCACCUCGGUGCUUUGAACACUGCUCAUCUUUCGAUCAAUGGCACUGUGAAACUAUCUGGGUAUUUAGUGCAAUGCUCAACAUGAAAAUUUGGUUGCUGCACGUAACUUUUCUUUCAAAAAUAAUUAAUAAAAUUUGAUAAAAUGAAAAUAUUUCAGAAUGAUUGAGAUUUGAAUCAACAAACAUAUUGUCCUUGCAGCUGUGGCUCAGCACUCUCAGCACUGAGUCAGAAGGUGAUGGGUUCAAUGUCCAUUCAGAGACAACUCUAAUCCACUUAAAAGUGCUUUUGGACUUUCGGAUCUUGUAUAAGCCACACAAUAAAUGUUUUUUUUUUAAA